rnacentral:hammerhead_ribozyme from 1 species
AUCCAUUUGACGAGUCCCAAAUAGGACGAAAUGAGCAUCCUGGAU